rnacentral:tRNA from 1 species
AUCUAAAUAGUUUAAGUAAAAUAUUGAUUUGUGGUAUCAGUGAUAUAUAAUUUAUAUUUUAGGUU